rnacentral:SRP_RNA from 2 species
GCCAGGCAUGGUGGCGCAUGCCUGUAAUCCCAGCUACUCAGGAGGCUGAGGCAGGAGAAUCACUUGAACCUGGGAAGCUGAAGUUGCAGUGAGCCUGAGAUCACGCCACUGCCCUCCAGCCUGGGUGACAAGAGCGAGACCCUGUCUCAA